rnacentral:rRNA from 1 species
UACGAAGGGGGCUAGCGUUGCUCGGAAUCACUGGGCGUAAAGCGCACGUAGGCGGCUUCUUAAGUCAGGGGUGAAAUCCUGGAGCUCAACUCCAGAACUGCCUUUGAUACUGGGAGGCUCGAGUCCGGAAGAGGUGAGUGGAACUGCGAGUGUAGAGGUGAAAUUCGUAGAUAUUCGCAAGAACACCAGUGGCGAAGGCGGCUCACUGGUCCGGUACUGACGCUGAGGUGCGAAAGCGUGGGGAGCAAACAGG